UACGAAGGGGGCUAGCGUUGCUCGGAAUCACUGGGCGUAAAGCGCGCGCAGGUGGCUAUGUAAGUCUGAUGUUAAAGCCCGAGGCUCAACCUCGGUUCGCAUUGGAAACUGUGUAGCUUGAGUGCAGGAGAGGAAAGUGGUAUUCCACGUGUAGCGGUGAAAUGCGUAGAGAUGUGGAGGAACACCAGUGGCGAAGGCAACUUUCUGGCCUGUAACUGACACUGAGGCGCGAAAGCGUGGGGAGCAAACGGG
rnacentral:rRNA from 1 species